AGAAGAAACGGCUGGCAACCUGCUGGUGCGCCUGCUCCUUGUCGGACUGCUCCUAGGCGGCUGUUCUUCGCUGCAGAACAGCUUGAGGAAGUUGAGGCUGCUUUUCCAGCUUUUAGGAAAUUGAGGCUGCUAGAGAUCUGGCGGCUGGUCUACUUGGUUUCCUGCUGGAGCUCUCCAUUGCCCAAGUGCAACCAGAAUCCAGAGGGCACACAGCAUAUUGAUGUGGCCCAUUCAUGUCUGCUUGGUGAGUGGGUCUGGAGUGGCCAGUGGAGGGAACCCCGCACACAGGCUGCCCUUGUCCUCGUCCAGGGGCAAAGAACAGGCUCCCCUUACCAAACAACCAGAGCAAGGACUCAGCGACUCUGAGUCUUGAAUGCCCGUAUCAAACACCUGUAAAUCUCCCUUUUAACUAAGAGGAAGUUCUCCAGACUCAACAGAGACUGAUCAAAAAGUGAAGACUAACUCCCGGAUCUGGAGUAAUACUAGAGAGACCAUGGAAAGGAUAUACCGACUGCCCAGCCCAAGGAAUGAAUUAAUCUCACACUAAGACUUAGCAUUGUGAACAAUCAAAACUCCAGUGCUUCAGAGAAGAUUACAAAGUUUCAAAAAGAGAAAAAUCAGAGUGGCAUUAGAUGUCUCAUCAGCAACUCAACUUCAGCAGCUAGAAAGGUCAAAGUUCAGAGGGCAAGUAAGUUUCAGGAAUCGAUUCCAAGAAUAUGAUAAAAACACGAACAUGGGCAUUGCAGCGUUAUUUGCAACAGCAAAGAUCGAAAACAACUCAAACAUCCACCAACUGGGAACUGGAAGAAUAAGUUGUACUGUACCCAUAAAAUGGCGGCAUUAUGCAUUUGUGAAAAAGAAAAAAAUCUCUCUCCAUGCCAUGAGAGAUCUCCAGAAUAAGUUGGUAAGUGAAAAAGGCAAGGUUGAAAGAAAUGAAGUUUGCUAUUUGACAUUUCAAAAUGGGGGAAGAGAAAGACUGAAUACUUAUACUUUUAAAAGUCGAAGGAUAAACUGAAAACUUUUAGAAAGUACUUACUUGAUUGAAAGUUACAGGAAGGGAGGACAGGAACAGAAGCUAGAGUUCUAUGAAUAUACCUUAUUUUGUGUCUUUGACUUUGGAAUCGUGACUAUUUUACAUAAUUGUAAAACCAAAAUUUUUAAAAAGCAAUCUCUAAAUAUUGAAAUAUUUAAUAUAUUUAGUGGGUGGCAGCCUUCAUAGGGAGAACUGUUUCACGUGACUUUAAAACAUAAAUUUGACUAUACAUAUCUUAUAGGAGAUACUCAAAUAACAACAACAAAAAAAUUGCCCCCUUCAUAAAAAGUCUCAAAUGGUUUCUAGUAAUCAUAUUGCUCCUAUUGUUGAUACUGAAAUUGUUAUUCCAAGACUAUUUGUGUGUAUAUUAUAUACUGAAUAAUUAUGUUAGUAUUGUUUGGAAUAGGAUUUUAAGUUUUGGAGUAGAGGUACAGCUAAGUACGAUAGGGUUAAGUAGAACUCUACAGUUGUGAUUCUGGAUUGUAAGUAUUGGUAUGAACUCAUGAUGUUUUUAUAUCUUAAAAAACAAAUAUAUCCUAGCUCCCUACAUUGAAUAGACCUGAACACAUAAUCAACCCAAUAGCAAUAAGCACCUCUAGCACCCAGAUUAUGAUAGCUAAACACCAUUUUCUAUAAAUGAAACCAGGAGUCCUUGGAAACAUAGCUGAAUCCACGGUCUAGGGUAAGAAAGAGACAAAUUGAGCCUGGACCAUCUUGUCAUUCCAGAAGGAAGGAAACUAUAAAACCCAAGGCAAAGCCAACUACUAAUGUAACCAACAUGAAGAGGCUCUCACUGUCCACAUAGGUAAUUUCUGCAUCAGUAAUAGUAACAGCUAUAAUGAAUUGGAACAUCCAAUAGAUUUAAUGGCAUGAGCUCAUAAUGACUUAAAAAAUGUCCUCUCACUGUUCACUGGGAGAAGCUGGAAAACCCAAUCAAUAUUUUGAAAACUGGCGAUUAAACAAACAAGUAAAUCAAACAUCUAUCCCAUCCUGAUAUGAAUUGUUCCUCAGGUAAGUGAAUAGUCAUGAAGGAAGGUUUCUCUUUUCUGUUUAUUUUUUAAAGAACAGUAGCUAAUGAAUGAAGAAGGAGAUAGACGAAGGUGGUCACCAUUUUUACAACGCUUAACACAUUAAAGAAUUGCAUCAAGGGUUAAUCACUGAUUGGUAAUAUCACAAAAAAAGAGACAACCAGACAUUACGUGCCUCUCAAAGGAAGGACACCACACCACCUGUGAGGUACUCUUGCCAAAAAAAAAAAAAAAAUCAAACCAAAGUCUGGUCCAGCCUCUAGCUCUAACUUUACUUUCCAGCAAAUACGGGGCAUGGGGAACAUGACUAACUCCACCAUGGUACCCAACUGGCAAGCUCUUCAGGACAUAGAACCAAUUUCCUCAACAGAUAAAUUGCAAGUUUAAAAAGAGAGAGAGAAAGAGAGAGAGAGAAGGAUGAGGGAGAAAGAACCUGUAAAUUUAACUAGACUUCAGAGUCAUAGCAACCAACAGCAACAUAUGCACCUUAUUUAUUUGUUCCUGAUUUGAGCAUAUUAACUGUAAAAGAAAUUAUGAGACAAACAGGGAAAAUUUGAACAUUGACUGGAUUAUGGAUGCAAUUAGAUAAUUAUUAUUAAAUUAUAGGUGGGAUAAGAGUUUUAUGGCUUUAUUUAAAAAAAAAAGAAUCCUCUGGGCUUGCUUGGGUGGCUCAGUUG